UAGAAACCUCUGAAACUAAUAGAUCCCUCGGAGGGGUAUGGGUUAUCCGAUCCUUUUUAGUCGCUGGUAGAAAUGUUACGCUGGCCCUUUAAGAGGUGAUAAUGAGCUGAGGAGUCUUGCUCUUGUGUUCCUCCGGUGAGCAGCGCGGUUGAUCAGGCGGCUCGAACAGUGCUCGCGUGGUAAAGGGAUACUUUUGAAGAGCAGGGGAGAAAGUGUUUCAUAAGGCCCUCGUGUGUGUGCUCCAGGAACCGCGAGACACAUCGAGAGAAAGAGGCGAGUUUGUCACAUGCUGUGUUAGUGUGUUGUGCACCAGCGUGAAGAAACAACA